GAUCAAUCUACUAGCUUACGUGCCCU
rnacentral:piRNA from 1 species